rnacentral:misc_RNA from 1 species
GAACGCACCUUGCGCCCUUUGGCUAUUCUGAAGGGCAUGCCUGUUUGAGUAUCAUGAACACCUCAACUCUCAUGGUUUGCCAUGAUGAGCUUGGACUUUGGGGGUCUUGCUGGCCUAUGGUCGGCUCCUCUCAAAUGGAUCAGCUUCCCAGUGUUUGGUGGCGUCACAGGUGUGAUAACUAUCUACGCUUGUGGUUUUCCACCAUUAACCUUCAGCAAUGGAGGUUCGCUGGAGCUUACAGAUGUCUUUCCUUGGGGAGGACAGCUUCUUGAAUGUCUGAUCUCAAAUCAGGUAGGACUACCCGCUGAACUUA